AUGGGAUACUCCCCCGCUGAGUCUUUGGCCAUCGCCAACAGGCUUAAUUGCCGCAUGGGCUCCUUCCCUACAACCUACUUGGGGACGCCCAUUAGUGACUCCCGGCUAACCGUCGCGGACUUGCGCCCCUCCGUGGCCAAGCUCCAAACGCGCGUCGAGCCAUGGCAGGGGAGGUGGCUGUCCAAAGCGGCCCGGACUAUCCUCAUCAACUCUUCCCUCUCCAGCCUCCUCUUGUUUCUCAUGAGCUUCUACAGCCUCCACGAGACCCUUCACAAGGAGAUUGCCAAGAUACAGUCCCGCUUUUACUGGGCGGGCGACAAUGAUAAGCAGAAGUAUCAUAUGGUCAGUUCGCCUGACAUUUGCAAGCCCCGGGAGCAAGGUGGCCUUGGCAUCAUGUGCUCUAAACGGAUGAAUAUUGCCCUCCUCUCCCGCUGGCUUUGGCGAAUCUCGCAAGGGCACGGUGGUCUUUGGCUUGACAUCAUCCGGAACAAAUACUUGUGCGGACAGCCACUCGCCUUUUGCCAAAAGUCUGGAGGCUCUUAG
rnacentral:rRNA from 1 species